CCACGGGCUUCCCUGCCCUGAGCAGCUGCAGCUGCAGCCGCCGCCGCCCAGCUGAGGGCCAGGGAGGGAGCGGGGAGGCCAGAGGCUUUCAUACGUCCGAAAAGACUAAUAACCCCACCGCCACCGCGGGACUCAGACGCGAACCAACCGCUUGCCUGCUCUACCCCGCCUGAGCUUUCCUGGGGACCAGCCCUUCCCUGUCCGUCCUAGCCAGCGACCGAACCCCGGGGCCCUCAGGACAGUCCGCUGGUGGUUCUGCCUCCUGAGGACUUGCGCACGCGGGCCGGAGGCCUGGGGAUUGGUGACUAUUCUGCCUCUUCCGCCACCGUUGGCGGCUGAACACUCCUCCCCGGUGUCUGAGUUCAGGGGCCCAGCCUGCGGAUAACACCUCAGGCUACCUACAGGCCCGGGGACUCGCGUGCCCGCCCAACCUGGUCAGCCACCACCAACACCAGCAGGGACCGCCUGGAUUCCGGAGGGUUGCCCCCCCAACUGCAACUACCCUGCCCACAUCACACCCACUGCCCCAACGCCUGAGAUCAGCCACACCCCCAGCCAGUGGCUGCCACUACCAGCAUUAGAGCAGGGCACCUAGAGACACACGAAUCACUCCCCACAACCCGCUAAUAACAGAGCCAGCAUGCACUGCUCUGGGACUAAAGAAUAGGAAGAAGUCCUCCCCUACAAAGCGAGUUCACAAACUUGGAAGAAGCCACUUUCACAGGAUGCACAGAUCUCAACGGAAGGACACAGAAAACAUGAAAAAGCAAGGAAAUGGGGCGCCUCCAACGGAACCCAGUAAUUCUCCAGCAGCAGAUCCCCAUCCAAAAGAAACAGAAGACAUUUUGGAGAGAGAAUUGAAUAUACAUAUUAUACAGUUGUGGGCAUAAUACAAGCAUCAUUUGGAAAAGAACAGAGAAAAAAGAUGGAAGGAGUUACCGUACUGCAGGAAAAAAUUAUCAACUCCAGUGAUAUUAUUAAAUACAACCUAACGACACUUCUGAAGCUGAAGAAAUCACUGGAUGAAAUACAAAGUAAACUCAAAAGCUUCAGUGAUAGACUAGAACAAGAAGAAGAAAGACUCUCAAAACUUGAAAUCUGA
rnacentral:lncRNA from 1 species